GGAGGUCCGCCUGCCCAGUGACUAAAAGUUUAACGGCCGCGGUAUCCUGACCGUGCAAAGGUAGCGCAAUCACUUGUCCCUUAAAUAGGGACCUGUAUGAAUGGCAUAACGAGGGCUUAACUGUCUCCUCCUCCAAGUCAGUGAAAUUGAUCUGCCCGUGAAGAAGCGGACAUAAGAAUGUAAGACGAGAAGACCCUAUGGAGCUUAAGACAUAAAAUCAACCAAGUUUAACCACUUCGCAUUUAAGAAGGGAAACACAAUGGCAACUGAUUAUCGUCUUCGGUUGGGGCGACCGCGGGGAAAAACAAAACCCCCAUGUAGAAUAGGAGAAAUCCUAAACUAAGAUAAAACCCAUCUAAGUCAUAAAAUAUUUAACUAUCAAUGACGCCCUCCAGGCCGAUCAACGAACCAAGUUACCCUAGGGAUAACAGCGCAAUCCUCUUUUAGAGUCCAUAUCGACAAGAGGGUUUACGACCUCGAUGUUGGAUCAGGACAUCCUAAUGGUGCAGCCGCUAUUAAGGG
rnacentral:rRNA from 1 species